GAUGAACGCUAGCGGCAGGCCUAAUACAUGCAAGUCGAACGGUUGUAGUGAUACAAUAGUGGCGCACGGGUGCGUAACACGUAUGCAACCUACCUUAUAGACGGGGAUAGCCUUUGGAAACGGAGAUUAAUACCCGAUAGUAACCUUGAUUGGCAUCAAUUAAUGUUUAAAGAUUUAUCGCUAUAAGCUGGGCAUGCGUCCAAUUAGUUAGUUGGUUAGGUAAUGGCUGACCAAGACGAUGAUUGGUAGGGGAACUGAGAGGUUAAUCCCCCACACUGGCACUGAGAUACGGGCCAGACUCCUACGGGAGGCAGCAGUAGGGAAUAUUGGGCAAUGGAGGCAACUCUGACCCAGCCAUGCCGCGUGCAGGAUGAAGGCGUUAUGCGUUGUAAACUGCUUUUAUAUAGGAAGAAAUAGACCUUGCGAGGUAAGUUGACGGUACUAUAUGAAUAAGCACCGGCUAACUCCGUGCCAGCAGCCGCGGUAAUACGGAGGGGUGCAAGCGUUGUCCGGAUUUAUUGGGGUUUAAAGGGUGCGUAGGCGGUUUAUUAGUCAGUGGUGAAAGACGGUCGCUCAACGAUUGCAGUGCCAUUGAUACUGGUAGACUUGAGUGAGAUUGAGGUAGCUGGGAAUGGAUAGUGUAGCGGUGAAAUGCAUAGAUAUUAUCCCAGAACACCANUUGCGUAGGCAAGUUACUAAGUCUCUCACUGACGCUGGAGGCACGAAAGUGGUGGGUAUUCAAACAGGAUUAAGAUACCCUGGGUAGUCCACACUGUAAACGAUGAUAACUACUGUUGGCUUUCGGGUCAUGGCUACGAAGAAUUCGGUUAGUNAUCACCUGGGGAGUACNCCGGCCACGGUGAACCUCAAAGGAAUU
rnacentral:rRNA from 1 species